UGAAUACGCAACGCGUGGCGGCCAAUGGGCGCGGGCGGCUCAUGAAUAUGCGAUGAGGUCGAGGCCGCGGCCCGUGCGCGGCGGGGCCGGCCGGCGGCGGAGCGGGGCGGGGCGGGCGGCACAAGAUGGCGGCCGCCAUGUACCUGGAGCACUACCUGGACAGCAUCGAGAACCUGCCCUGCGAGCUGCAGCGCAACUUCCAGCUGAUGCGGGAGCUCGACCAGCGGACGGAAGAUAAGAAAGCAGAAAUUGACAGUCUUGCAGCAGAAUACAUUGAAUCUGUGAAGAACAUGUUGCCCGAGGAGCGAGUGGAACACCUGAAAAAAAUCCAGAGUGCCUACAGUAAAUGUAAAGAGUACAGCGACGAUAAAGUACAGCUGGCCAUGCAGACAUACGAGAUGGUGGAUAAGCAUAUCCGCCGGCUGGAUGCAGACUUGGCACGGUUUGAAGCAGAUCUGAAAGAUAAACUGGAAGGCAGUGACUUUGAAAACCCUGGAGCACGAAGCCUGAAAAAGGGACGAAGUCAAAAAGACAAAAGAGGCUCUCGUGGUCGAGGCAGGCGAACAUCUGAAGAAGAUACACCAAAGAAAAAGAAACUCAAAGGAGGCUCUGAGUUUGCUGAUACCAUCCUGUCAGUGCAUCCCUCAGAUGUCCUAGACAUGCCAGUGGACCCCAACGAGCCCACCUACUGCUUGUGUCACCAGGUGUCGUACGGAGAAAUGAUCGGCUGUGACAACCCAGAUUGCCCAAUUGAAUGGUUCCACUUUGCUUGUGUGGAUCUCACCACCAAACCAAAAGGGAAAUGAACACAGCGUGAUGGGAAUAAUCGUAAGCGUGCAAGUGCAUAGAGCAGUAGGUCACUGCAUUCCAAUCAGAUACUGAAGUAAACCGGUGAUAGCAUGGAGCUGAAGUUUAAUGGCUAGCCACUGAGUUAAAUGCUGAUUGUUUCAGUUUUGUCCACGUUGUGUUCAGGAAAGAAAGAAAAAGAAGUAAGGAGUAGAGGGGAAUACGUCCUCUGAGGCUAGAAGAGUUUUUUAAUAUAUUCCUUCCUUCAAGUUGCAAUAUCAUCUUUUUGAUUUUGAUUUUAAAACCUACCCUCUUCCUUUUUCUGAUACGAUAUUUAAUUGUCCAGUGGCCAGUUGUAAUUCCUGUUCUUUUGUAAGAAAAUGACUGUGGGAGGGAGGGAAUCUGCCACAGGGAUUUUAUUUAUGUUACACUUGCACAACACUGUAAUCAGUGUUACUAUGAAGUGUUAAGGCAGCCAGUAGCUGUAAGUCUGCUAGUUUAUAGGAGUCUGUGAAACCACGUAAGGUGUUGCAGGCACAUGAGAUACCUGUAACUUCAUGGCGCAUCGCCAUCACUGAAGUCGUUCAGUUACCUGGAGCUUAGCGUGGUAGAGAAAAAGGAAUUGUCUCUAUUGUAGCCUGCAGAAGAGGAAUAGUUUUGGUGUGAAGUCCACUUGUUCUGCAGUUUUGUUGUACAGAGGAACAAGAAAGCUGGUCAGCUGUUUCCAAUGUCUGUUUCCUCAAAGCCAAAUACUGUGCUUAGUUUUGACAGGGUAGGGAUGGGACGGAGAUAAGACCGUAUCUUCUCUUCUGGGGAAUUUCUUCUGUCUAACUUUGCACUGCCAUUAUUUUACUUGAUCUUGCUUGCGUUCAUGUGAACCUUAAGAGAAGCAAAACAUCUGGCUUUUUGCCUCCUAUAAAAGGUUUGUCUCUUCUGGGACAAGAGCUUUAAAUCUCACAGGAAUUGUCCUGCAGUGUUUCUUAGUGACAGUAGUAUUGAGAGAGUGAGUUACCUUUCCUGUCAGUUUUCAUUUCUUUGGAAAUUCUUUAAGUAUAUUACUGUGAAGUUGAAACCUAGAGUAUUGUUAUAGAGGGUCUGAUUUAUUCAUAAAAGAAGAUGAAGGCCUUAUUUUUAUUACUUGUGUAUGCCUGUGUUGCACCUCAGUAAAUCAGGAAAAGAAGCUUUAAGGGAAUCCUCUGCAAGGAUAACAUGUACAUUCCUGUGAUGGUGCGGCAAAGCUGAAAGAAGGGUGGCCGUUAGGUAGCUUGGUGGAGGUUGUGGUGUUUUAAUAGAAUUUGCUAUGAAGCUGUCUUAUUGAAGAAGGCAAUUCAGUAGGAAUGUUUUAAAAUGACGUCUUGCCUUCUUAGUAGGGGCAUAUUUGCCUGUUCUUGACUUCUUUAAGCUGCCUUUCAGAUCUUAAAUGUGAAUCCUUGCUGUCAUCACCGUGCCAGUUGCUGCAGCAGAAGGAUGAGAAGGAAAUCAGUAAUAGGAAAACUAAAGUCUUUUUGCGUGUGGUUUUUUUUUCCCUCCUUUGAGUUAUAGCAGAUUCAGAACCUGAGGGAAGAACAGAGAUAAGUAUUGUCUUUAGAUGUAUCCUGGAUUAUUGGGCUUAAUUGCCUACACAAAAAUGUUGUCGGUAAAGGUUUUUCUGCUAGGGGAGGGAGAAAACACCAAAACCCUGCAGCAGUACAGACCAGGGUUCAUGAACUCUUCCGGCUGUGGUCUGUGAUGGGUGUUUAUGGCAGCUCUGUGCAGGGUUGUGUGUUACUUGGCAUACCAUUGUGCGGAGCUCUUGGUGCAGACUGUUGGAAAUCCUUCCAGAUAAGCUUUUCUUCUGCUUUAAAAGCAAUCUGAAUAAACAGUACAGAGGGGGGUGGGGGGAAAAAAAAACAAAACAACAACACUGUUCUAGUUGGACUUUGGCAACAGCUUCUGAAAGAACUUUGUUGUUGUUUUUUGGUUGUUUUUUCUUGCCCUGGCCCUCUUACUUGUGCUUUGCAGUGAAAGUAGAACACAGCUCUUGCCUGUUUUCCUUUCCUGCCUUGCUCUGCUGGGUUUUGUAGAUGCUACAGGUGUGUAAGGACUCUUGCAGAAGAAACAUUUUGAUACUGAGACAGGUUUUCUGUGAACGUUUUGAUUUAUUGCAUCCGCUAUGCAAAAAGACCUGUCUCCAGGGCCCUCUCGUUUGAAAUGUGAUGUUGUACAUGUCCUUGUUAGGUUGCAUCACUCCAUGCUGUAUAUGAAGUUUCCAUAGUUAUGUUUACAAGACAAUGUACGUUUCUCAUUGUUGUCAUUGUAAAAGCACCCCAAAACCACACAGACAAAUUAGAAACGGAUUGAGGGUGAGAGGGGGAGAAGAAGCACAAUCAUGCAAACCUGAUCAUAGAAAUACAGUCAGCCCUCUUAUUUCUGCCUCUGUUUUGAGAGUAAAUUCAAUUGUGAUACCUCAUGAGCCAGCCUGUAAUUCAGUAACCAGUGGGUGAGACCUGUACCUCAUUGAUCUGCUACACUGGAUUAAUGUAAGAGUGUAACCGUGUCCUGAAGGCUAGUGGUGAUGCUGUUUCACGUUUUAUUUUCCCUUUCCAUCCAAUGGUAUUGUAAAAAUUUUUUCCCCUUCUCCUAAGGCUUUAAUAGUAGUGCUAUCACCAUAGAUUAAGCAUUUGAUUUGAAACAAUCUCAAAGUUAGAUUGCGCCUCUUUGGAGGUCUUGCUGGAAACAUGCAAGUAUGGAAAUGUGCAGCUGUGGAUGAAUAAGAGCAAAGCUAGCUGCCCUAAACUCAGAAACGAUGGUCAGGUAGGACAGCAAAUUUUUUGUUAGCAAGUGCUUUCCUGGGCUCAGAAGAACAGAUGUUUUCCAUUUUAACCAGCAAAGCAAAAAAAAAAAAAAAGUGCUAGAAGUUUGCAUCAGUCUUCAAAAGGAAAGAUGCUUCUUCACUAGGAAUCAUGAGCAAAGCUGAGGUGAUCCACGCUCUUCUUUACACUGGGACAUCUCCAACGUGUCUGCCCAUCGCACCGGCACCAGCAAUAGACUGUCCUGUCGCCAACAUACCAGCACAGAGCCUCUAGCUGCUGUCACAGGCUCAAGAGCAUCUGUUGGCUGUUUACACCUGGGUUUAGAGAUCUUUAGAGACUCUUGUAGAUGGAAAUACCAGUAGCCUUCAUUUUUGGUCACUAAAGAGUUUAAAUCUUUCUCCUGAAUUUUGAAUGUACGGCGUUAAAUCUGCUUUAAGGAGAAGGAUGAACAAGACUGUGAUACUUAAAGGAAUGUUCCACUAAAGAUUGUCGAAACACCUGCGUACACUGUGGUGUUCAGCUUUAUCGCAGCUCAUCCAAACUGGAGGUGACGCAACUUUAACCCGAUUUUUCUAUUUUUUUAAAGAAUCCGACCUGUGUUCCCUUUGUAAAUGGAAGAGACUAUAAAGCUUUUUAUUAAAAAAAAAAAAAAAAAAAACACAAAAAACCAUCAAACAAGAAUGUAAAGUAAAAUCUUUAUCUGUAUUUUUGGAUCUUGUCAUAGAUGAUGGCUAUAUUGAUUUACAAAUAAAGUAUUUUUGGGAACAA